rnacentral:lncRNA from 1 species
AGAGCGCGCAGAGCAAGGCCGCCGCCAGCUCUCCCAGGAACCGUCGCGAGGCGUCCCCUCGGCGGCCGCCUCAGUUUCCCUGGCCGUAAAACGCGGGCGAUGGCGCUCGAUGCCCCGGGAGACGCCGGGGUCCGCGGGCCCUUCCGGCACCGGGUCCUCCUUCAGGUUCGGGCACCCGGCUGCCUCCACGCGGGGCGAGCGCGGCGAUGGGAUCGGUCCGUGCUGCGCUCAGCCCCGCUUUCGCUAUCCCUCUGCUCCAGGGGCAGCAAAAUCAGCAGAUGAGCCCCCAGCGCGCCUGCGGCCCACACACUGCGGCCGUAACAGUUAAACAGACGGGGAACAUUCAUGUGCGUAGAGCUCUUCACGGGGCGAUACAGAAAUGUGUCGUUCUAAAGCGUUAACGACCUGCAAUUUGCAUAUCCUCCAACACAUGGAUUUUACUGAUUCAAUUAUGGAUGUGUGCAAAGAAUCUGCUGCUCGGGCGUGGUGUCCUCAGUGCUGAGAGAGCCCCGCGACGGCGGUGCAGCUCCUCCAGGGCGCGCAGCCCCGCCACCUGGCGCCACCGCGAGGGAGCGCAGGCCCAGGGCCCGGGCAGACGCUGGAGGGGACGCGGCAGGUGAAGAUGGGGCACCUCCACUUCCCUUCUAAAGGAGCCUGGGAAUAGGCUAGGAAAUGUCCCCACUGUAGAAGACAGCAGGAACAUCUGACACGCGGAUAACCUGUGCUGAGCUCGUUAUAUUCCCAGCAUUUAAUUCUAGCCAUUAGGCAUGCGUUAGCCACAACUUCGCAUAGGAAGGUUAUUGCAGCUAUAUGGGAACACUUUCAGUUUCCCAAGUUAAAACAUGAAAUUGCACAUCAUCAUUUGGAUCCCCAAAGAGGAAAAGAAAAAUUCACAACCUGCCAGUGAAAUACUCAGGCCACUUGGAUGAAGACCGAGGUCCUCCAUAGAAUCCAGGUGUUAUUUACUAACUAAUCAGAAAUUAAUAUCAAAAUAGGACUUAAAAAUAACAAGGCUGUGUUAUUACAGCAGUCUUUCCAGUUGUGUACGCUUUACUAAUCUAAAUUGGGUAACAGAACUGGAGAAAAGGAAGACUACACAGACUUAUCAUAAGCUGUUAGUGAACGUGAUAGAAAUGCGUAAUUUGUUAAAGCGAAUUACAGCUCUGAUUUGUCAAAUGAGGAGGUGAAUUAUCCUAGGAUUUGCUAUGCUGUUGUGGCGUUAGAAGAUUGGAUCUUUAGCAGCAAAGGUAACCUCAACAAUAUUUUCUGCUUAAGAAAGUGCCUUGGUUAAGGUAGACCGUGAUAUCGUCUUUGACUAAGCUCUCUGGGCUAUUGAUUCUGUCAUAUUCCAAAGGCAGUAUUGGUUUGAAGCCGAAUCUCACGGUCAAUGUCAACAUGCAAUCCACAAAGACCCUGGCGCCCUUCCACGGUAUGCACUAACCAAAACUUUCUCACUGUGAAAUCCUUUUUUUAAAAACAAGAAAACAAAAAACAAAAACCAAAAAACCUUACUGUGAAUCCUUUCCCAAGGAAUGGUCCCACCUUCACCUCGGAAAGAGGCGUGGCUUGCUCUGUAAGCAGGUCCACCCUGAGGAGACCGCUGGUGCAAGAGCCCUGCUUGCAGAACACACAGGGGGUUUUCCCACAUUCUUACUGGAGUCAGAUUCGGCAAAGCAUUUCAAGCAACUGCUGGACACUUCAAAUACCACUCCCUGUUAACAACGCCCUGAGUAUCUCACUGUCUCCAGGAUCUGGUUUAAAGGGAAACACAGAAAUGGCCAACAGCUCCCUCCCCAGGCAGGACUGCGAUUUCACAGACAACCUAUAGGCAUCCCCAGUCUGGUGAAUAAACAGGAGAGUGAGAGGAAAACAGCAAUCAUUCAACUCCAGUAGAUGUAAAGCCUCCAGAAGAAUGUGUCCCGGGAAGGUCAGAAAUGUCAUUUUUUUCCUCCAGCACAUUUCAUCUGCCACAUUCCGCCGUCCGAUGUUUGAGGAAGGAGCCCCGCCUUUCCUUCAGGGGUUCUUGUCGCCAAGUUUGAUGGUGACAGUUUUCACUUCUGUGUAUUCGGCCAAAGCGUAUUCACCUCUGUGAUCACAGAAAAGAGGAAAAUUCAAAAUGGGUACAUCCCUUAGCCAUUGUGUAGAAACUGUUCUGAGGCUUCAUCAUUCCAUCAGGCCGUUGGAGGCUUAUGCAAAAGGUUAAAAUGUGACGACCUCAUGGAAUAAUAGCCAGGACUAUAACAGCACUAGUAAGUGUCAGUAGCUGCAUAUGUGACUUAAAUGUAAAUAUCAAGGUCUUCUUCUGUGUGAUGCUUUUGAAAUGGCCAGGACUAAGGGUUUCCCUUUAGAGAAUGAAGGGGAUUUUAAAAAAAGUAAAGAGGUGAAUUCCCUGGGGUGGCAAUAGAGAGCAAAACGAGAGAGCCUGGUGGACGGUGGGGUGUCUGUGAACGAGGGAGGGGCAGAAAUUACACUGGGUUGAUAACUUUUAGAUGGCAAUUGGGAGCUGCUUGAAGAGGAGACAGAAGAGGCAGAGGCCCAAAGCUAUUGGCUGGGGAUGUGGCCAGAGGACCAGUGGGAAGAACACCAAGGGCCUGAAGCUGGCCUCAGAGUGCACAGCUGGGGACCAGCUGUCAGGCAGUGAGGCCAGCCUAGGGGGCAUGAGAGAAGCAGACGUUAGCACAGAGUGGACAUGGGGAGGCCACAGCUUUUGGGUUCACAUCCUUGGUAUAGUUCCUUUCUUUAAAUCUUGCAGGGCUCAGGUGAUCCUUCCCUGGCACCAUGGGCCGUCUUCAGGGUAGCUUCCCUUCCAAGACCCAAGAGGCAGCUUUGGAGAGAUUUAAAUCCUUCUAAGCGCUUGAUCUGCUGUCAGGUGAAGAAAAAUGUGUGCUUGUUUAGGAAGAGAUGAAGGUAGAGGUGGCCACUGGAGUCUCUGUAGUUAAAAAGACCUGUGACAGAAUCCCAUCUCCUCCCUUAGAUCAAUGGUUCUCAAAGUGUGGUCCCCAGACCAGCAGCAUCAGCCUCACCUCUGAACUUGCUAGAAAUGUAGAUUCUCAGGCCUCCCCCAGCCCUACUAUCGUAGGCAGAAUAAGGAUCUCCCCAGGUAUCCAAAAUUGGAUCCCCCAAACCUGUGAAUAUGUUGGGCUACAGAGUGAAGAAUUAAUGUUGCAGAUGGAAUUCAAGUUACUAAUCAAUUGACUUUAAAAGAGGGAGACUCUCCUGGAUCAUCCAGGCAGACCCAGUGUAAUCACAAGGGUCCCCAAAACUGGCAGAAGAAGAGAGGCAGAGCAAAAUGAGAUUAUAGAAACAGGUUCAGAGAGCAGCAGUGCUGGCUUUGAAGAUGGAGGAUGGGGCCACCAGCCUAGGAAUGCGAGCAGCCUCUAGAGGAUGGAAAAGGCAAGGAAGUAGAUUCUCUCCUGAGAACCUCCAAAAAGGAAUGAAGCCCUUGAUUUUAGCUCAGGGAGACCUGUGUCAGAUUUUUAUCCUACAGAACUAUAAGAUAAUAGAUUUAUGUUAUUUAAGCCACUGAUGUUAUGGUAACUUCUUGCAGGAGCAAUAAAAGACUAAUAAACUUACUGAAUCAGAAA